UGCCCAGCAACUCCUUUCCCUACCUCCUCGUGGUACUGGCCGGGGUACGAGUAGCCUUGGGGAAGAUCGAGUAACCAACGCCCGGUGGGAACUUUGGUCGUAUGCUGACAGGGAAGG
rfam:Aedes aegypti strain Liverpool supercont1.633 genomic scaffold, whole genome shotgun sequence.